GAUGAACGCUGGCGGCGUGCCUAACACAUGCAAGUCGAGCGAAGCACUUACUUUAGAUUUCUUCGGAAUGACGAAGUUUGUGACUGAGCGGCGGACGGGUGAGUAACGCGUGGGCAACCGGCCCUGUACAGGGGGAUAACAGUUAGAAAUGACUGCUAAUACCGCAUAAGCCCACAGCUUCGCAUGAAGCAGUGGUAAAAACUCCGGUGGUACAGGAUGGGCCCGCGUCUGAUUAGCUAGUUGGUAAGGUAACGGCUUACCAAGGCGACGAUCAGUAGCCGACAUGAGAGGGUGACCGGCCACAUUGGGACUGAGACACGGCCGAAACUCCUACGGGAGGCAGCAGCGGGGAAUAUUGCACAAUGGCGGAAACCCUGAUGCAGCGACGCCGCGUGAGCGAUGAAGUAUUUCGGUAUGUAAAGCUCUAUCAGCAGGGAAGAAAGUGACGGUACCUGACUAAGAAGCCCCGGCUAACUACGUG
rnacentral:rRNA from 1 species